rnacentral:piRNA from 6 species
CUAGUGGUUAGGAUUCGGCGCUCUC